CUUGGCCAAACUGUCUUCUUUCCCCUGUGCCCAUGCACUUCAUUGGUUUUGGUGGAACUGUGCCAAGUUACAUUGGUUGAGAAUCAGGCACAGUCUUUCCAGAGAGGAAAAGAGAACUGAAAAUGGCAGUCCUGCUCAAAUUAAGUUAAAUUCAGUCUCUCUCUCUCUCUCUCUCUCUCUCUCUCUCUCUCUCUCUCACCCACUGAAAUUGCAUACAAGAAGUUCCUUUCAAACCAUCUGGUAGGGAAUAAGAAACACCCAGACCCAUUCAUUGCCUCUGCUAUGAGAUUUCCCUGCUCAGACAGUGGAGGUGGGAAGAAAAAGAGCAUUACAUCCUUGGUGUUCUUCCUGUGUGGAUUCUUCUUUUUUCCAUGGCCUGUACUAAAUCUGUAGUUAUUUCCCACAGAUCCCUUUCAAAAGCAUCAUACUUAGCCUUGUCUCUCAGAGACAUUCACCUGCAUAGCCAGAUGACUUCACCCUUGCCCAGAGUACUAGAUGCUUCUCUGCACGAUAACUGAAACAGUCCCUGGCUGCCCUUAGCCCUGGUAAUAUCUCCAGUCCCUGUUCUUCCAGGGUACUCCUGUCCUUGAGAACUAGGGGAAGGUGGUCCUGGUUGUUUCCCUCCUUUCCACUGGCAUCAGCAAGCAGAAGACAGCUAGUGUGUUUUCUCAACAAAGGCCACAAGUAUGGGUACUUCAGACUGUUUGCAGGACUGAAGCCUGUAAAAACAAGCAUAAUUUGUUUUAAGGAGCCAGAACUCUGCUUUGAUGAGAUUUGUUCUGCACCACCCUGUAUGGCCAAGUGCUACACAUUACCUGCUUAGGACAGACCCCUUUACAAAAGCAUGAUAGAAGUGUAUGAAGGAAGCCAACAUACAAGGAUAAUGAAUGUAGUAGUCCUACAGCAAUGAUGGAAUCAUAACGAGUCCAUCUUGGCAUACCUGUUCUUUAGCUAUUUACAGAUAACAGACAUAUAAAAAGCACACCGUACUGAUUUCCCUUUUGCUGAAAAGGUGUAAGGCACAAUCCCCUUGUCUGUGGAGUGAGAAAACUUCCAGGGCCAUGACACUGCAUUCAGGCUUGAGAGGUGUGCUGCAAGCCCUGCUGAAGUGGGGGAUGAAAUUGUUGUUCAAAGCAAAUGUCAUUUGGAGGCCAGGAAAGAUCCAUGGAGAAAUGAAAAAGAAGAGAAGGAAGAAAAUGCAGCCAUACUAUUGAGGUUUCAGUAUGGAAACCACUAGCUGGAUCACACUGAGGGGAACUGAAUGCUGGAGGGAAGGCAUGGAUGGGAAUAUUCAUUUGGUGACCCAGUCUGACCAUUUGGAGCAGAUACACAUGGCCAGUCAAAAUGGCAUGGAAUGAAAUAGAGAGCAGAAAUCCUUUUCAUAGAGGAGGUUUGCAGCCCUGCCCCGUUUCCCUUCCUGGUGUUUGCUGUGGAAUGGAGAUCCGAAAGGAUGCCACUGUCUCCAUUUCAGUUAAGAGGACAUGAAAAACCAAAAGAUGAGGCCAUGGAAUGCAGUCACUUUUUAGAGAUGACAUUUCUAUGGAGUAUAUCACCAGGCUCUACUUGCUGAAGUUGGAACAGAUGUCCAAGAAUGGUACAAAGACAGAAACCUUGUUUACAAGUGAAUUGCUCAUUGGGAGAAAAAAAAAAAAUCAGACAGUCACAUCUUUUGUAAUGUGUACCUUUUCAUGUGUGUACAAAAGCGCAAGUUUGUGUUGUUUCCAAAGCCCCUACACUGGAAUUAAGAGAGUUCUUUGGCUACAUUCAGAGAGAUGCAAUGUGUUUUCCAUGGCCUUGAACUACAAGAAAAUCUGACACUGCGUUGCAAGGCUGUCAGGCACUUGCUGGUGACAGCUCAUAUGAUGAGAUAAAAUUGAGAAGCAGAUAUGAUACCAAUCCUUUUCUUAGCCAAAUAAGGAAAGAAAAAAGAGAAACAAUGGUGUCUGUAAAGCAAACCUUAGUGGAAUCAUAUCAGGAAUUUACCAUGAGACUGUACUGAACUCCCAAGAUGACCAGUCAUAUUUUUGGGCAUAGUUGACAUAGAGUUGACAUAGUUGGACAUAGAGAAAAUAGAGAGAAAAGCCAAGGGUGUGGAAAAGAAAAAGGAGGAAGACAGAAGUUGUUAAAAUACUAAGACUGAAAGCUCCUCUGGUAUUUCAUCUGCACAUUUCCCUGCUCCCUUUAAGCUGAUAAUUAGCCAGAAUGACAUGGAAACCUCUAAAACCAUGGCAUUGAUUCUAGCUGAUUCCAGAUUUCAAUGGGAAAAAUGUAUUGUAAUAUUGUUUCCAAGGAGAAAGUACCCUGUAAUACAGUCAUAUAUACAUAUAUAUAUGAUGCAUACACAUGCGUCUUAUGUGCCAGAAAUAUCCAUUGAAAAUAUUACAAAAGGGGCAAAUGAGAACUGAUUUCUGGUCUACAGUGGACAGUUUGAAGCUGAAAAUUGUCCAGUACAUCUAAAGCAAUUUUUCUAUUCAGGACUGGAGUGAGGAUGUUUCAAAGCUGGUUAGCAUAUCCAGUCAACAACAUCCAACUCUACCGGGUUCUGUCUGGUAACUCUAAUACAGGAAUCAAAAUACUCCAAUUAUGCUUAUGCUUGACACUGUGGGCUCCUUGGCAAUGUCCUUUUAAUUAGAAAAUUUGGGAAAAGAUCUAAAGCAACUAGGUUAAACUAAAAGUGCAAAAAUGAGAUGUACUGAUACAGACAGGUUAAGGGUUAGACGAAACAACAUAACCAUCAUCCACAACAAAUGCUUUCAGUGUUUCAGAGGUUGUGCAAGGAAUAUGUAUGUUCAUUUCCACUUCCCUGUAUUUAAUCAUUUCACCUACCUGCUGUUAUUCUCAAAGCAAGGAUAAACAUUAGUGUGACAACACAGGACACUUCCACACUGAUACUCAAAGGUUUCAGAGGCUCUCACUAUUUUUCUAGGGAUGGUAGAAAUACAUACUUACCUCAGGACUGUUGUAUCGGCAGAGCAACCUUCAGAUUCAACACUUGAGUAUGUUCUGUGACUACCAGGGUAACUCAACCAACUGAGUUUGAGAUGCAGAUAGCCAAAGAUGCCUAAGUCAAGGAAUGAAAUCCUGGCUUCACUGGAGUCAGUGCAGACUAAGGCUUUGAUCUCAAUGUGAAUUUAACAAUAUUUUUUAGAAAUGUCAGGCAUAGCUUCUGAGCCUAAUUGAUGGAAACAUUUUUAUGAAUGUCAAAUUUUAAAAUGUCAUUUUUACCUCAAGCACAUGACUUGCUUCUAUAUGGAUUCUUUUUUACAACACAAUAAAUGACACAUAGCACUUUGAUUUUUAUACACACCAUUCUGAAAAUGGGAUCCUAAUACCUGGAAUUGCUGCUGGGAUGUGGAACAACAUUGACAACCUCCAGCUUUGUGUCUGAACAGCUAUAUCAUUGACAAUACUGAGCUAUGUAACAGCAAUUUCAAAUACUUAACUGGGUGUUAAUUAUGGCAUAUGUACCAGUGCCCACUGUACCCCUUCAUACUAUUCACUGAGCUAGAGGUGAUACUUCUCAUUUUAGGAAAAAAAAAUGCUUUUCUAUGAUUAAUGCUUCAGAUUAAGUACCCAACAUUUCUGCAGUGCAUAUACAACAGCUUAAGGAAACCAAACUAAAAUCAGCUCUUCAACUGCAUCUACAAUACCUUCCAUUAUUCCCACAGAGCUCCCACAGAAACAGCUGCAAGUCAAGGACUCAGAAUGCGAAGCAAUAUAAAUUCUUCAUUCUUCCUCUAGCCUCCAUCAGGCGCUUUGCUAUCAAACAAUGAAAAAGUCAGAAUGUAAAUGAUGCUAGAAAACAUAUAUAUAAAAUGUACAUACAUACGUAUACACAGACACGCUGUAUGCAUUAGUCCAGGUGCAUACAGCAGUACUGAACUGCAGCUCUCUAUAUACACUUCACAGAAACAGAGACCCCGUUAUGAGCUACUGCCUCUAUUUCUUUUUCCAUACACUCAGGCUAUUGUAACAUCUUCUCUCCCAGCAGUGCUUCCUUUUUCUUGACCUUUUACCCUCUCUGCUUCAGCUUUUCUAUGAAUGGCAAUGAAACAAAAGUAGAGAAAAAUCAACAGAAAAGUAAUUAACAAGAAGGAGAUUGUUGCAGCUCCUCAGAGGUAUCCUUAGAGAGUGACUGUCUGAGAUCAUCAAUGCAACAGAGGAUACCAGAGUCAGGGAUAAACAGGAAUGGGCAGAACUGG